UCCUUGAACAAAAAGUUGAGCAAAAACCUCCAUCUGUUGCUUGUUCAAAGUCAAACCAAUCUCAAACUCCACCAUCAUUAUUUCUAUUCUCCGAAAGAGAAAAAGCUCCUGUUUUAUCAAUAGAAGUAACAUCAACUUUCUUAGGUUUACCCCAUCCAAAAUCAAAACUAUAAACCUCAAAUCUAGGUGAUCCUGCAAUAGAAAAAAACCCAUGAGUCUCACUCAUUAUAGAUUGUAUUUUUGACAUCCAAAUCUCUGCCUCAUUCAACACACCAUUUUCCAAACCAUUCAACACAUCAAUUAUUCCUUCAAGAGCACAUAUAAAUCCAUCAUCUUUCAACAAUAUAAUGCCUCGGUUUCACUCACAACCAACCGUGACACAAGACAAUUCCCAAAAUAAUUUCCAUUAAUUGGUGGAUCCAAACGUGACCUACUAUCGAUAGUAAAAACAAAAGCUGUCUUAUUAGAUUUUGGUUUGUCAACUUUAACCGCUAAUGCCAACAAAUAAGCACAAGUAACCGCAAAAGUUGAAACCUUUUUAUUUUCAACUUUGGAUUGUGCAUAUUUCUUAAGCUUUUGAAUAUCUAAAAGUGAAAAUUCAAACAAACCUUUGAUUGUUUCACCUUUUGUUGCACUAAUUAUUUCCCAAACCUUCAAGCUUCGAUUAUUUGUUUCUCCACCAAAAUUCAACCACCCUUUUGAAUAAAUCUCAUUUAUCCCUACAGGGUCUCUUAUAAUGGACCUAUCAAAAAAAGGUGUUAGAUGUUGAGGUAAUGACAAAGAGGGUGUGUUUUUUUCAAGGUUGGAACAAAAGUAAGACCAUGCUUUCAUAAACAAGGUUGAAGAUUUUCCAUCAACAGCUGCAUGGUGUGUGGUUAUACCAAUACAAAAUCCAUGGUUAGGAAAAAAAGUGACUUGUAGUGAAAUAAUUGAUGCUUUUUCAUUUGAAAUCUCCAAACUUGGGAUUAAGUGUUGUUUUUUUUCAACUUCACAAAAAUUUGAACAUAAAAGGUUGAAAUUUUCAUUUGAUUCAGCUACAAUCAAUGGAAUGGAAUCACUAGGGACAUAGUUGAUGAUGGGAUGUGAUGAAUCUUGUGGCCAUGUGAUGUUACCAACAAGAAGGAAGAGAGUGUUUGAGAUUUGGAAGAAUGGAAUCAAAAAAAGAAGUGGUUGAUAAAUUUGGGUGUUCAUAAAAGAAGAGACGUUCAACUGGUGGGAGUCUUAGCCAUAGUGAGUCAAAGAAAGUGAAGGGAAAAGUAGUUGGGGAGGUUUCAUUUUGAGGUGCUAUUGAAAAAUUUUUAUGAACUUUGAGAGAUAUUGCCAUGAGAAAUUGAUGAGGAAAUGAGGCUUGGCAAUUUGUAGACUUAAUAAGCAUUUUAUGAUGAUGAUGAUGAUGAUACAUAGGCUAUGAAUAUGCUUUCAAUAUAUGACAAGGACAUAUCUAGGAAUCACACGUCACAUGGUUCGAAUUGGUGAGGAUUUGAAGUAUUUAUCUAAGGGGAACUUCUACGGUACACUGUAAAUUAAGGUGUACUGGUAUUUUUAUUUCAUAAAUUUAUAAAUUAAUGAUCAAUUUUAUGAAAUAAAUAGUUAUUUAUCGGUAUUUAUAUUUUAGAAAAUACUAUUUCAUAUGUCAUUCAUUGUUUAUAAGAAUCAUAGUAUUUUUUUUAGAUAUUAUCGUAUAAAAUAAUCAAAGUUCUCUAUUAUAAGCGAUAAAAAUUCAAAAAAAUCAAUUUUAUUUCGUUUACGCUUGUGAUGAAUAAGAUUUAAUCAUUAUAAUUAUAAAUAAAAAAUAAUAAUAUUUUUCUUCAUAAAAUAACUCAUUUACCAAUAAAAUUAAAGGUUUGGUGUACCGAUACACUCAAAUAUGUUGGGUGUACCGUAGAAUUUGUCUAUGUAAGCUCCUUUUCACCUUAUUGUUUUGUUUUUUACUUUAGGAAAUUUUUGAUGUAGGAUGUCGGCAAAGAUGUUGAACAUAUUGGUUUCAAGUCAUACGUGUCGAAAAGGCAAGUUUGCAAAUAAAGGGUGACCAUUCUUUGGAUGAUCUCCGUGCUUUUUUUUUUUAUUUGUGUUUGAACUUCGAAACUUGCAUAUAUAAUGCAUUGUCUAUACCAACUAAAUUAAAUUCACGAACACCUCUUUGUGUUUAACGUUGAUAUAUAAAAUACUAACGAGUUUUUAAAAUUUUACCAUAUCAACUUUCUUAUAUUGUAUUUAAAAAUUUACUUAUGUAAUUUUAAAUUUUUAAAAUCUACAACAAGCGUGGGCCAAAUAUUUAACGUGUUUUGUAUAUAAAAUAAAAAAUAUUUAAUAAAAAAAUACAUUAAUGUCGAUAUUUUGAAAAUAGUCACGAGUUUUCAAAAUAUUAUCAUAUCGACUUUCUCGUAUAGUACAUAAAAGUUUACUUCUAUACAUUUGUCAAUUUUUUUUACUUCUAUAUCUAUAAGUAAAUAAAAUCUGCAACGGAAGCGAUGCAAAUAUUUAACAGAUUUUUGCAUACUAAAAAAAAAUAUUUAAUUAAUAAACCUCUUAAAACAUAUUUAACAUAAACAUUACAUUAAUGCCGAUAAUUUUCAUCUAAUACAUUUAUACAUUUUACAAUAUUUACAAUGUAAUUAUUUUUUAUAUAAUUACCACAAUAUUACGCGAUCUAUCUGAAUACACAUAUUUUUACUAAUGAUGCUUAAAGAGCCACCAUCGAUCUAAAAUGGUACACAAAAAUGAAUAUGAAUAUGUACCUUGACUGACCUCGACAUAAAUGUUACAAUAAUGACGUGGCUAUGCAUUGUUGCAUCUAGAAGUAAAACACCAGUACACCACCUUAAUUUGGUGAAAUUAUUCUACCGACACAAUCAUAAAUAAUAAAUAUUUACAUUCACAUCAAAUACAAAAAUUAAUAAAAAAUAAAACUAAAUAACAUUGAUUGAUGUGGUUUAUUUAUUUUUAUUUUAAUUUUUUCUAUUUGAUGUAAAUGUGUUCAAAUAUUUAUCAUUUUUGAUUGUGUUUACAUAAGAGUUUCUUAAUCAAUCCUAAACAAAAAUAUUCAUAGAAAAGAAUACGUGGACUGCAUAAUGCAUUAUUUCAAUUACUUGCUUAUCACAUCACAAUCACAUACUAUAUUAUUCCUUAAAAAAAUCACAUACUAUAUUACUGGCAUCUUGACAUUAUGCUAAGAAAAUAUAUAAGACGACAAAAAAACUAUGACUACAACAUGUUUGAAAGUUUACACUGUGGAGAGAUUCAAGGAGACAAACAUUGAAGGCGCCUUGAGUUUGAGAUAAAACAAGUAUAUGAAGCUAAAACAUCCAGAUUUGAGGAGGCAAAGCUUACCAUUCAUUAAUUCAUUUCAAUCUAACAAAUAUCCUUAAAAAAAAAUUGUGAAUAUUUUUCUUUUUUCUCUUUUACAAUUUGUUUUUUCUCCAGAUUUAUUUAAUAACUGAUGUAUUUAGUUUAUAUUGUAAACCAAAAACAUUAAUUAUAUAAUAAAUCUUUAAACAAAUUGUUUAUGUCUGAGACCAAAUUCAUAAUAAAAUACUCUCUCCGUUUCAAAUUGUAUAACGUUUUGGACAUUUCACACAUAUUAAGAAAUGUAAUUAAUAUUGUGUGAGAAAGAGAUAUUAUGAGUUGUUUUACAAAAUUGUCCUUAAUAAAUUAUAUGAGAAAGAUAAAUGAAUGAAUUGAAAGAAAAGAGAGUAAUAAAUAGUUAAAGACAUAAUAGAAAAAGUAACAUUAAUAUUUUAUUAGUAUUGUAAAGCGACAUAUAAUUUGCGACAAUUUUUUUUCUUUCUAAAAUGACUUACAAUUUGGGACGGAGGGAGUACAUAUUAACAUAAGUAUUUUAAUUUGACAAAAAAAAAAUGUAUUUUAAGAAUUUAUCUUGUCCUACUUGGGGUGAUGAGCUAGAAGACAUUGAGCGAGUUUAAAGCAAAAGGUCCUCAACAAUUUCAAUUUCCAAACUUAUAAAAACAAUUCAAAAUAUAAAUCCAAGAUGUGAAUCGUCUGAUCUAAAUCGAGAGAUUAAAAUCUACAACAGUACGAUUGUGUUUUUUUAAAAGGCAAAGUAAUAUAUGAUAGACAAUCCAUUUUCUUGAUACAAUUACAAUGAUUCAAGUCCUUGAACAAAAAGUUGAGCAAAAACCUCCAUUUGUUGUUUGUUCAAAGCCAAACCAAUCUCAAUUCCACCAUCAUUAUUCCUAUUCUCCGAAAGAGAAAAAGCUCCUGUUUUAUCAAUAGAAGUAACAUCAACUUUCUUAGGUUUACCCCAUCCAAAAUCAAAACUAUAAACAUCAAACCUAGGUGACCCGGCAAUAGAAAACAUCCUAUCUGUCUCACUCAUUGUAGAUUGCAUUAUUGACAUCCAAUUCUCCAAACCCUUCAACACACCAUUUUCCAAACCCUUCA
rnacentral:lncRNA from 1 species